rnacentral:rRNA from 1 species
UACGUAGGGUGCAAGCGUUGUCCGGAAUUAUUGGGCGUAAAGAGCUCGUAGGCGGUUUGUCGCGUCGAAUGUGAAAACCCGGGGCUCAACUCCGGGCCUGCAUUCGAUACGGGCAGACUAGAGUUCGGUAGGGGAGACUGGAAUUCCUGGUGUAGCGGUGGAAUGCGCAGAUAUCAGGAGGAACACCGGUGGCGAAGGCGGGUCUCUGGGCCGAUACUGACGCUGAGGAGCGAAAGCGUGGGGAGCAAACAGG